rnacentral:rRNA from 1 species
GAUGAGCGCUGGCGGCGUGCCUAAUACAUGCAAGUCGAGCGAACAGACGAGGAGCUUGCUCCUCUGACGUUAGCGGCGGACGGGUGAGUAACACGUGGAUAACCUACCUAUAAGACUGGGAUAACUUCGGGAAACCGGAGCUAAUACCGGAUAAUAUAUUGAACCGCAUGGUUCAAUAGUGAAAGACGGUUUUGCUGUCACUUAUAGAUGGAUCCGCGCCGCAUUAGCUAGUUGGUAAGGUAACGGCUUACCAAGGCAACGAUGCGUAGCCGACCUGAGAGGGUGAUCGGCCACACUGGAACUGAGACACGGUCCAGACUCCUACGGGAGGCAUCAGUAGGGAAUCUUCCGCAAUGGGCGAAAGCUUGACGGAGCAACGCCGCGUGAGUGAUGAAGGUCUUCGGAUCGUAAAACUCUGUUAUUAGGGAAGAACAAAUGUGUAAGUAACUAUGCACGUCUUGACGGUACCUAAUCAGAAAGCCACGGCUAACUACGUG